CGUGGGUAACCUGCCCAAGAGAUCGGGAUAACACCUGGAAACAGAUGCUAAUACCGGAUAACAACAGAUGAUGCCUAUCAACUGUUUAAAAGAUGGUUCUGCUAUCACUCUUGAUGGACCUGCGGUGCAUUAGCUAGUUGGUAGGGUAACGGCCUACCAAGGCGAUGAUGCAUAGCCGAGUUGAGAGACUGAUCGGCCACAUUGGGACUGAGACACGGCCCAAACUCCUACGGGGGCAGCAGAA
rnacentral:rRNA from 1 species